rnacentral:ribozyme from 13 species
AAGAAGAAAUAACACGUCAACACAAACAUGGUGAAGAUCACCACAUACAACAUACGGUAAGCGACUUUGUUGUGAGCCCCCGCCAUCUUUUUUUUUUUUUUUUUUUUCCCUUUUUUUUUUUUUUUU